AGGAAUGUGCCCGAAAGUUAGGGAUCACUUUGAUACAGUGAAUUAUAGGGGUUCAAACCCCCUCAUAUCCUU
rnacentral:tRNA from 1 species